ACAAAUAGCAAGGGAGAAAACAUGAUCACAAAGAUGAUUUUCCAGAGUCUAUAUUAUCCAUUGCACUACAGAUGUGCUGACCUCUGAGAUUUCCCAAAUGUGGGAAAUUUGACUGUAUAAUUUCUGGUAGUGGGGAACUAUCUUCAUCUUCUCCUUU